rnacentral:rRNA from 1 species
AUUGAACGCUGGCGGCAGGCCUAACACAUGCAAGUCGAGCGGAUGAGGGAAGCUUGCUUCCCGAUUUAGCGGCGGACGGGUGAGUAAUGCCUAGGAAUCUGCCUAUUAGUGGGGGAUAACGUUCCGAAAGGAACGCUAAUACCGCAUACGUCCUACGGGAGAAAGUGGGGGAUCUUCGGACCUCACGCUAAUAGAUGAGCCUAGGUCGGAUUAGCUAGUUGGUGAGGUAACGGCUAACCAAGGCGACGAUCCGUAGCUGGUCUGAGAGGAUGAUCAGCCACACUGGAACUGAGACACGGUCCAGACUCCUACGGGAGGCAGCAGUGGGGAAUAUUGGACAAUGGGCGAAAGCCUGAUCCAGCCAUGCCGCGUGUGUGAAGAAGGUCUUCGGAUUGUAAAGCACUUUAAGUUGGGAGGAAGGGCGCUCGGUGAAUACCCAGGCGUCUUGACGUUACCGACAGAAUAAGCACCGGCUAACUUCGUGCCAGCCGCCGCCGUAAAAC